UAAUUGUUAUUUGUUCAUUGCAGUGCAAGACAACAGGGGAUACACAUUGAUGAAAUUGUUCAGCAAUUGAAGAUCCCAAAGAACAAGCUAAAGAAGCUACAAAGAUGCUAAAGAUAUAGAAUUUGAGGGUCUUGGCCUACGAAGACAUGACUGAACGUCGCUGCCAAGAAGACGACGCAUGAAGACGUUCUGGUGCUACAAGGCUGUGUUGUAGGACUUUGGAAGAUGUUUACGCGUCUUGGAGGAGUCACGGAUAUUGGAUGACGUGGAAAUACUUUUGAAGGCUUGUUAAUUAGAGGACAAGAUAUUAUCAUAUUGACUUGAAAAUUUGGACUUAUCCUUGUUUAGGAAAGUAGGUUAUAGGAGGGUUCCUAUAUAUUGUAUUAUUAGGCCAAACAAUGUUUGGCCGUUCAAAAAGAAUUUUAGAGAACUAAGCGAGAAAGCUUUUAGGGUUCUUAGGGAUUUUGGUUAGAUUAAGAAUUGGUCAGUGACAAGCCGUGUUGAC